rnacentral:rRNA from 1 species
GAUGAACGCUGGCGGCGUGCCUAAUACAUGCAAGUAGAACGCUGAGGGAAGGAGCUUGCUCUUUCCGGAUGAGUUGCGAACGGGUGAGUAACGCGUAGGUAACCUGCCUGGUAGCGGGGGAUAACUAUUGGAAACGAUAGCUAAUACCGCAUAACAGUAGAUGUUGCAUGAUAUCUACUUAAAAGGUGCAAUUGCACCACUACCAGAUGGACCUGCGUUGUAUUAGCUAGUUGGUGAGGUAACGGCUCACCAAGGCGACGAUACAUAGCCGACCUGAGAGGGUGAUCGGCCACACUGGGACUGAGACACGGCCCAGACUCCUACGGGAGGCAGCAGUAGGGAAUCUUCGGCAAUGGACGGAAGUCUGACCGAGCAACGCCGCGUGAGUGAAGAAGGUUUUCGGAUCGUAAAGCUCUGUUGUAAGAGAAGAACGAGUGUGAGAGUGGAAAGUUCACACUGUGACGGUAUCUUACCAGAAAGGGACGGCUAACUACGUG